AAACCAUAAUGGGAACACUAUCUUUUUAAAUCCUUAAAUCUUUCCCAAGCUUCAUAUAAAGACUCGUUAUCCUUUUGGUAAAAAGUAGCAAUUUCAUUUCUCAAUUU